GCCAAGUGUGGUGGCGCACACCUGUGAUCCUAGCUACUGGGGAGCUUGAGGCAGGAGGAUCACAAGUUCGAGCCCAGCCUGGGCAACUUAAUGAGACCCUGUUUCAA
rnacentral:sRNA from 1 species